AGCGUACACGGUGGAUGCCCUGGCAGUCAGAGGCGAUGAAGGACGUGCUAAUCUGCGAAAAGCGCCGGUAAGGUGAUAUGAACCGUUAUAACCGGCGAUGUCCGAAUGGGGAAACCCAGUGUGACUCGUCACACUAUCAUUAACUGAAUCCAUAGGUUAAUGAGGCGAACCGGGGGAACUGAAACAUCUAAGUACCCCGAGGAAAAGAAAUCAACCGAGAUUCCCCCAGUAGCGGCGAGCGAACGGGGAGGAGCCCAGAGCCUGAAUCAGCAUGUGUGUUAGUGGAAGCGUCUGGAAAGGCGCGCGAUACAGGGUGAGAGCCCCGUACACAAAAGCGCAUAUGCUGUGAGCUCGAUGAGUAGGGCGGGACACGUGGUAUCCUGUCUGAAUAUGGGGGGACCAUCCUCCAAGGCUAAAUACUCCUGACUGACCGAUAGUGAACCAGUACCGUGAGGGAAAGGCGAAAAGAACCCCGGCGAGGGGAGUGAAACAGAACCUGAAACCGUGUACGUACAAGCAGUGGGAGCCUCUCUUUAUGGGGGGUGACUGCGUACCUUUUGUAUAAUGGGUCAGCGACUUAUAUUCUGUAGCAAGGUUAACCGCAUAGGGGAGCCGAAGGGAAACCGAGUCUUAACCGGGCGUUAAGUUGCAGGGUAUAGACCCGAAACCCGGUGAUCUAGCCAUGGGCAGGUUGAAGGUUGGGUAACACUAACUGGAGGACCGAACCGACUAAUGUUGAAAAAUUAGCGGAUGACCUGUGGCUGGGGGUGAAAGGCCAAUCAAACCGGGAGAUAGCUGGUUCUCCCCGAAAGCUAUUUAGGUAGCGCCUCGUGAAUUCAUCUCCGGGGGUAGAGCACUGUUUCGGCUAGGGGGCCAUCCCGGCUUACCAACCCGAUGCAAACUGCGAAUACCGGAGAAUGUUAUCACGGGAGACACACGGCGGGUGCUAACGUCCGUCGUGAAGAGGGAAACAACCCAGACCGCCAGCUAAGGUCCCAAAGUCAUGGUUAAGUGGGAAACGAUGUGGGAAGGCCCAGACAGCCAGGAUGUUGGCUUAGAAGCAGCCAUCAUUUAAAGAAAGCGUAAUAGCUCACUGGUCGAGUCGGCCUGCGCGGAAGAUGUAACGGGGCUAAACCAUGCACCGAAGCUGCGGCAGCGACACUUUAGUGUUGUUGGGUAGGGGAGCGUUCUGUAAGCCGUUGAAGGUGUCCUGUGAGGGGUGCUGGAGGUAUCAGAAGUGCGAAUGCUGACAUAAGUAACGAUAAAGCGGGUGAAAAGCCCGCUCGCCGGAAGACCAAGGGUUCCUGUCCAACGUUAAUCGGGGCAGGGUGAGUCGACCCCUAAGGCGAGGCCGAAAGGCGUAGUCGAUGGGAAACGGGUUAAUAUUCCCGUACUUGGUGUUACUGCGAAGGGGGGACGGAGAAGGCUAUGUUGGCCGGGCGACGGUAGUCCCGGUUUAAGCGUGUAGGUGUGUGUUCCAGGCAAAUCCGGAAAAUCAAGGCUGAGGCGUGAUGACGAGGCACCACGGUGCUGAAGCAACAAAUGCCCUGCUUCCAGGAAAAGCCUCUAAGCAUCAGGUAACAUCAAAUCGUACCCCAAACCGACACAGGUGGUCAGGUAGAGAAUACCAAGGCGCUUGAGAGAACUCGGGUGAAGGAACUAGGCAAAAUGGUGCCGUAACUUCGGGAGAAGGCACGCUGACACGUAGGUGAAGUGAUUUACUCACGGAGCUGAAGUCAGUCGAAGAUACCAGCUGGCUGCAACUGUUUAUUAAAAACACAGCACUGUGCAAACACGAAAGUGGACGUAUACGGUGUGACGCCUGCCCGGUGCCGGAAGGUUAAUUGAUGGGGUCAGCGCAAGCGAAGCUCCUGAUCGAAGCCCCGGUAAACGGCGGCCGUAACUAUAACGGUCCUAAGGUAGCGAAAUUCCUUGUCGGGUAAGUUCCGACCUGCACGAAUGGCGUAAUGAUGGCCAGGCUGUCUCCACCCGAGACUCAGUGAAAUUGAACUCGCUGUGAAGAUGCAGUGUACCCGCGGCAAGACGGAAAGACCCCGUGAACCUUUACUAUAGCUUGACACUGAACAUUGAGCCUUGAUGUGUAGGAUAGGUGGGAGGCUUUGAAGCGUGGACGCCAGUCUGCGUGGAGCCGACCUUGAAAUACCACCCUUUAAUGUUUGAUGUUCUAACGUGGACCCGUAAUCCGGGUUGCGGACAGUGUCUGGUGGGUAGUUUGACUGGGGCGGUCUCCUCCUAAAGAGUAACGGAGGAGCACGAAGGUUGGCUAAUCCUGGUCGGACAUCAGGAGGUUAGUGCAAUGGCAUAAGCCAGCUUGACUGCGAGCGUGACGGCGCGAGCAGGUGCGAAAGCAGGUCAUAGUGAUCCGGUGGUUCUGAAUGGAAGGGCCAUCGCUCAACGGAUAAAAGGUACUCCGGGGAUAACAGGCUGAUACCGCCCAAGAGUUCAUAUCGACGGCGGUGUUUGGCACCUCGAUGUCGGCUCAUCACAUCCUGGGGCUGAAGUAGGUCCCAAGGGUAUGGCUGUUCGCCAUUUAAAGUGGUACGCGAGCUGGGUUUAGAACGUCGUGAGACAGUUCGGUCCCUAUCUGCCGUGGGCGCUGGAAGACUGAGGGGGGCUGCUCCUAGUACGAGAGGACCGGAGUGGACGCAUCACUGGUGUUCGGGUUGUCAUGCCAAUGGCACUGCCCGGUAGCUAAAUGCGGAAAAGAUAAGUGCUGAAAGCAUCUAAGCACGAAACUUGCCCCGAGAUGAGUCUUCCCUGAGACUUUGA
rnacentral:rRNA from 1 species